GACCUCGUGGCCUAAUGGAUAAGGCAUCGGUCUCCUAAACCGGGCUUGCGGGUUCGAAUCCCGCCGAGGGUACA